CCUACGGGAGGCAGCAGUGAGGAAUAUUGGUCAAUGGACGAGAGUCUGAACCAGCCAAGUAGCGUGAAGGAUGACUGCCCUAUGGGUUGUAAACUUCUUUUAUAUGGGAAUAAAAUGUUCCACGUGUGGGUUUUUGUAUGUACCAUAUGAAUAAGGAUCGGCUAACUCCGUGCCAGCAGCCGCGGUAAUACGGAGGAUCCGAGCGUUAUCCGGAUUUAUUGGGUUUAAAGGGAGCGUAGGUGGAUUGUUAAGUCAGUUGUGAAAGUUUGCGGCUCAACCGUAAAAUUGCAGUUGAGACUGGCAGUCUUGAGUACAGUAGAGGUGGGCGGAAUUCGUGGUGUAGCGGUGAAAUGCUUAGAUAUCACGAAGAACACCGAUUGCGAAGGCAGCUCACUGGACUGCAACUGACACUGAGGCUCGAAAGUGUGGGUAUCAAACAGGAUUAGAUACCCGUGUAGUC
rnacentral:rRNA from 1 species